AAAAGAAGUGUAUUUUCCACACCUGUGAAUCCUGUAGUUUUGCAGCUUCAUCUAGAGUUAAAAUCUCCUUGAAGAGGGAAUCAAUCACUUCAUCCAAGUCUGAAUGGCUCUGUCUGUGGAGGAGUUUCUCUGACAGGUCUGUGAAAGGAACGUCAAACCACGAAAUAUCUUCACAUAACCUGUUAAAUUACUUACAAAAGGGGAGGUCAUUGUUGAGCUGAAGGAAAGAGCUCAAGCUGCGUACACAGAAUGGUUUGUGAAGUCUCUUAUUGUGUUCACGGCACUAGAUUCAAAAAUAAGAUGUCUUAAAAGCCCACUCCUCUGCAUGCUCGGCUUCCAGCAAUUGUUUCUGCCUGAGUCUUAUCUAGCCACCGUACUGGUCUGAGGGAAAUGUGAUCAGUUCAGAGGGCUUGAUUGCACAGGAGAACGAAAAAAACAAACAUGAUCCUUGUGACAUGCGGUCAGAGAGAUGGACACAAGAUUUCCUAAAGUCUGCAACAUAAAUAAUAUUAAAAUAAUAAUAAACAGGCGUAUUUAUA
rnacentral:lncRNA from 1 species